ACUUUCGGUUCUCUCCCAUAGCUUUGCAGUUAUUCGAGCAGCGAGAGGAGAAAAGCAAAGUUGAAAACCUAAUUUCAUCUCUGAGGUUGUAUAUGAAUGUGAAGAUGGUAAUAUAGUCAGUGGUUCUGCACAUCCAAGUGGAGAAGAAAUUGUUUGCUUCACUACUGCCGGUGGCUGCAAGGUUUGUAACUUUCAGAAAACAUGUUGGAUGAAAAGCCUCAAUACCGACCAUGUCCCAGAAAGUAGCUAGCCAGUUUGGUCUUGGUUUCAGCUUUUUGCCAGGUGUUGGUUUACCAAAGGCGUUAUGCUUAUGGAAGGAACUAAAAGUAUUUUCCAGAUGCGGUGUUAGCCAAGAUCUCAAAAACUCUAUCAACUAAUGUAACAUGUCAAAGGAUUUGCUUUUUACACCUGUUUUGUUGUUAACUUGUAAAUGUAACCUAAAAAUUCAAUAAAGCUACUUAUAUAAUC